rnacentral:rRNA from 1 species
UCCACGCCCUAAACGAUGUUCACUAGUCGUCGGAAUGCUAGUCAUUUCGGUGAUGCACUUAACAGAUUAAGUGAACCGCCUGGGGAGUACGGUCGCAAGAUUAAAACUCAAAGGAAUAGACGGGGACCCGCACAAGUGGUGGAGCAUGUGGUUUAAUUCGAAAAUACGCGAAGAACCUUACCUAGCCUUGACAUUGAUUGAACAGAGUAGAGAUACACUGGUGCCCUUCGGGGAACAUGAAAACAGGUGCUGCACGGCUGUCGUCAGCUCGUGUCGUGAGAUGUUGGGUUAAGUCCCGCAACGAGCGCAACCCUCGUCCUUAGUUGCCAGCAGGUUAUGCUGGGCACUCUAAGG